GGCUGCCCGGCAGCAGUUCUUCAGUGGCAAGCUUUAUGUCCUUCUCUAGUAUCUAAAGCUGCCAGUUGAAGAACUGUUGAAUGUAGC
rnacentral:pre_miRNA from 1 species